rnacentral:rRNA from 1 species
GAUGAACGCUAGCGGCAGGCUUAACACAUGCAAGUCGAGGGGCAGCACGGGUAGCAAUACCUGGUGGCGACCGGCGCAAGGGUGCGUAACGCGUGAGCAACAUGCCCUAUACAGGGGGAUAAUCCAGGGAAACUUGGUCUAAUAUCCCAUAGCAUUUAGAGGAGGCAUCUUCACUAAAUUAAAGCUUCGGUGGUAUAGGAUUGGCUCGCGUGACAUUAGCUAGAUGGUGAGGUAACGGCCCACCAUGGCUAUGAUGUCUAGGGGUUCUGAGAGGAAGACCCCCCACACUGGGACUGAGACACGGCCCAGACUCCUACGGGAGGCAGCAGUGAGGAAUAUUGGACAAUGGAUGGAAAUCUGAUCCAGCCAUGCCGCGUGCAGGAAGACGGCCCUAUGGGUUGUAAACUGCUUUUAUAUGGGAGCAAUAAGGUUUACGCGUAGACCGAUGAGAGUACCAUAUGAAUAAGCAUCGGCUAAC